UUGUGUACGACCCCUUAGAUGUGUUGUCCGUUGUCAAAUGUUUGUACUGUUCAGUCUGUAGAGGCCCGUAAGGUCGAAGACGGUGUAAUUGUCUUUUUUUAAUUGUCUUUUUUAAAAACUUUCAAGCUUAGAUAGCUAUUUUCGAAAUAUGUGUUUUACUAAGAGUAGUUCCAUGUGUUACCUGUGAUCGAAAGCCGUUAAGGUAAUAAAGCCAAUUAUUUUAAAUUAGCUCAAUGAUUGUUGUGAACUGCAAUCACUUUCUUCUAACAUUUUUAUCGCUUCAAUAUUAAGCCUGCACCAGAACUACAAGAUUAAUUUGCAGAUAUUACAGAUUCCAGGAGUCCUCAUGAAAACGCAUUGGCUAAUUACCCCAAUUUCUUCUAGUAUGUGAAAAAACACAACUCGGAAUGAUCUCACCCAGUUCCAUGUCGUCGGAUGACCGCAACCACUCCUUAACUCCUUCAAUUUUCUGCAAUACUGGUUACUAUCAUUUUUAUCACUUCACGAGGAAGGACAAUGUGCACCUGCCCCAAACACAUGUCACUUUUCACUUUUUCCUUCGAACAAUGCAACGCGACCGAGAUUUUCAUCGCAACUGCUCCAAACACGCGUCAUUUUUCAGGGCUUGGCUGGAUGAAUUAGUUCACAUAAAUAUAAAUUAUCGAUCCCCACAACGUUCAUGAAUAUCCAUGCCUCAAGCUAAGUUUCCUGUUCCCAAGUAGAGCACUCAAGUAAAAUUCCUGCUUUUUCGCAAGUAAUUUUGACAACUGAUAUAGUAUAUAGCAGGGCCCAUAUAGCCGAGGCGGUAAACUCACGGGUAUUCAGCAUGAUCAUGCUGAGGGUGACGGGUUCGAUUCCCGGUCGGUCCAGGAUCUUUUCGUAAAGGAAAUUUCCUUGACUUCCUUGGGCAUAGAGUAUCUUCGUGCCUGCAACACGAUAUACGCAUGCAAAAUGGUCAUUGGCAGAGGAAACUCUCAGUUGAUAACUGUGGAAGUGCUCAUAGAACACUAAGCUGAGAAGCAGGCUUUGUCCCAAUGAGGACGUUACGCCAAGAAGAAGAAGAAGAACAGUUUGGGGAAUAAUAGCACGGACUAUUUUCCCGCGCGGAAAAGUGACAGCUCCAUUUUAUUUCCAUGAGAAGCGUUACUGGCAUUACAUUUUUCCUUACUUGCCAUCUGCGAACUGAUCACGUGAUUUUAAUGCAGAUUACUUGACCUUUCCUUGUCCUAUCUUUUUGCACGGCACUCACCAGUUGGAAACUAGCCUUAAAGACUGAAGUAGCGAGGAAUAAAUUAUACAGCAUCCCAUUAAUAUUGAUUCCUCACUGAACAGAACAGCAGCGAGUUACCCCAACGACGAACGGAAGAGAUUACACAAAGAGUUCAAGAGUGAUUGAUUAUCCCGCAUCACAAUGCGACUAUUUACUGGAAAAGACGGCGUAGAUUUGUUUAUCGCCGUGAGGCAAAACAUGCGUUCUCACUCUUACAUGUGGCUAUCUCCAAGGUUUUUAUAUAUUGUAAGGUUGAGCAUGACGUUUAGUUUGUGGAGAAAAGCAGAGGAAGCGAAACUUCAAAGGAAUUUGAGGAGGCGGGGGAUUUGUUUUCAGAAUUUCUCACGGUGAAAAAAUAAUGGUCGCUCAGCCAGUUUUGACAUCUAAGACUACCUAAGAAUAUGUAAAUACCUUGGCUAUCUCUAGCGUGCGCAGAUUUUUCUUUUUUUCUCCCUCAUUCUCGUAAGCAAACGCGAGAGAGAAAAGGAGAAAGAGCACUUACCCCCUCUUUUAUCUCGCUCUUUUUUCACUCAGCCAAAAAGAGUGAGCGAGAAAACAGAUAAAGCUACGCCCGCUAGAUGUUGAGAUACAUUUGUUUCUGUGGCUGGAAGUUUGUGCGUUUGUUCCGUUCAUUUCGCAGCAAGCGAAGGAGAAAGAAACUGGCAUUCCUCGAUUCAACCUGCUCCGACGAGUGAUGAAUACUUACGGCUUCGGUUGUUCUUGAAUAUACUUUAGCAUCGGGCAUUCGCACCAAAUGAGAGUCUAAUAAAGGUGUGGAAAAAGAUACUUCGUGUGCGAUAGAUCCGCGUUUGAGGCUACUAUUGAAAGCAAAGCCAGCUUCUUGAUUCGCAUCCACCGGUGGCUAUUAGUGUUUUUUAGUUGCUACCUUUGAUCUUCGUGUGGCAAACGGUGCAAUCUGCGAUGGUGCGAUAUCUCGAAGAGUGAACGAAAAAUGUGCUUCACAGCAGCAUGGGAUUUAGUAAUUCGUUCAAUUUUGAAUGAAAGUUCUGCUAAUUGUACAUAAAAUAAUGCAGUAACAAAAGCAACGACGCAUGGGGAUGAGUUCAGGUGGAAGUGGGAGGAUUCGUAUUUAAUAAUGUUGUGUUUUCAAGGAGUUUUUAGUGAAAUUUCAGGAUGUUUCAGGGGGUUAGAGGGGGUUUUUAAGAGUUUCAGGCGUAUUAGGAGGGGUUAACAGGGGAUUUGAAGGGAUUUCUGGGCGUUUUUAAGCCUUUUCAUAAGUGGGUUUCAGCCUUGAGGCGAAAUUAAAAGCAUUUCCUCACUUUUUGGUUUUUUGUUUUUUUUUUAUCAAAUAACGAAGCAUUAUUUUCGUUUUUCGUACACAGUUCGAGGAAGGAUCAACAUAUCUCCUGAUUUUUUUUCAGGUGAAAAAUGUUUUUCAGUUUUAAGGAAACCAUUUUUGAAUGAAAUUUAAAAAAAAAUAUGGUUUUUGAAAAAUUGGUAAAAAUUUUACACCUGAAAAAAAUCCAGGAGAUAGCUCAACCCUUCUUCUGUGUUCAAAAAACGAUUUUGAAAAAUAUUGCUUCGUUAUUUAAUAAAAAAAAAAUCAAAAACCAAAAAAUGAGGAAAUGCGUCCAGUUUCGCUUUAAGGUUCAAGAGGUUUCAGGGGGUUUCAGGGGGUUCUUUUGUAGCUUAGAGGUUGUUUCAAAGAGCUUACGCUCACUUUAUUUGCUCCAAACUCAGUUUACGCCCUCCAUUUAUGCAUUGAUUCCCGAAUAACACUCCCCCAAUUUACGCUCCUUGGGAGUAAACUGGGAGUAAGCUGGGGUCUUGGUAUUCGGGAAUAUUUAACAUGUGAUACAGAUGUAUAAUGGAAGUUUGAAGUUGUUUCUCAAACUGUUGUUGUCUGAAGGAGCACUACCACCAGCAAAGUUGCAAAAUUUAGUGGUUCCCAAUCCUGAAUGACGGGCCACGCAAACUUUUCAAGAUCCGAAAGUUCUAGAGGAGUGUGAGAUUUUUUUUUUUUGAUUCUACGUCUCAAGGAGCAUAUACAUUAUACAUACAUUGCAUGUAUUAUACACAGUAAUCUGUGCAGUGGUUCUCAAGCAGAGGCAACGGGCCAUGCUAAUUUCUCCAUUACCGAAAGUGCGAUUAAAAUGUGAAAAUGGGUUUUAAAUUAGUACUAUCCGUGUAUUAAAAAUCAAGUCAAUUGGUACAAAUUUUACUGAGUUAAAGCAAAACAAACGCCUCGUACAAAAAAAAAAAUAAUCUGAUGUAUUCAGAUUCUGCGUCUCAAGAAAUUACUACAAUACAGUGGCGUGGCAAAACUCAGUGGUUUUUCAAGCUGUGGUGACGGGCCAUGAUGAUUUUGCAAGAAUCGAAAGUCCGAGGGGAAGGUGUGAAUGUUUCUUUUAGAUUCGACGUCUCAAGUAGCACUUAAUACAAUAAAUUGGUGUUACAAAGCUCAGUGGUUCCCGUGGCUGUGCUAAUUUCGCAAGAACCGAGAGUCCGAGGAGAUGUGAAUGCUUUUUGGACUCUAUAUUUCAACGAGCAAUAAUUUUAAUAGAGUGGUGUUGUGAACCUCCGAGACCCCAGGGCCAGGAGUCCUUGUUGAAACCUUUCGAUAACCUCUGAAACACCCCUUAGACCACCUGAAACGCCUCUGCGAUCCGCUGGAACUCCCUGAGAACCCCUGAAUGACAACUGAGAGGAGCUUUGCUUGGAGCCCCUUGAGAACAGCUGAAAUGACACUGAGACCCUCUAAAAUGCCACUGAGGUUCUUGCGAAGUUUUUGUGGCCCGUGAAUCCAGAUUAGAAACACUUUGCCACUCAACCAUAUUGUAUUCAGUGCUCCGCGAGGCGUGAAUUAUAAAAAAAAAACUAUUAUUUUCGUUGCAAUGGCAUAUAAGGGGGUUUCAGGGGCACUUCAGACGAUCCAAAGGGGUUUCAGGAGUACCUAGAGGUCUCUGGGCGUUUCCAAAGAGUUUGAGGGGGUCUCAUGGAAGUUCCUGGGGCCUCUAUAGUCAUGGCUAAUAAUGCACACUACCGUCACACACCAAAUUCAUGCUUCAUUCGAUGCAUGAAUGUUAUUUGCCUUUAGUAUAAGUACCAUAUUGCACCACAAUUGUAACACAAGUCAAGUGGAGAAUGAAAUAACAGUUUCUCAAUGUAGACCUGGUGUUCCAGUUGUUCAUAAAACUGCAAAAGAAUCAUACGGGUAAUUUGAAAACCGGAACUGUGAGAAUGUGGAAACAUUGAUUUUUGGGUCAGGUUUCAGGGGCGUAUUUAGGUGUCUGAGGGGGUUUUAGAAAACAUUGCAGAGAUUUCUUGUGCAUACAGACGGGUUUUGGAGGUGCUACAGGUGCGUUUUCGGUAAUUGUGGAGGGUCUCAUGUGCAUUACCUACCUACCGAGGGGGUUUAAGGGGAAUUAGCCAUGAUAUCAUUUAUCAAUUUCUGCACAAAACUCCUACUUUUUACGCCCUCUUUUAAUGUUUGCACAUUAAGGUGGCCCACACUUAUAUGAAAAACAAAAAUUUUGAAAAAUAUCAAGUCUUACCUCCUAAAUCAGUUGUUUUGAACUCCCAGAAGCUACGUUCAAAAUUUGAGCAAAAUCGGUUGAGCCUAAGGGGGCGCUCAAAACGCUUGAAGUUUGUAUGGGAAAACUUGGCCAAAUGUAUGCAAAAAUUUUAAGUUUUCGAAUUUUGCCGCUAGGUGGCGCUAUAAGCGUUCAAAAAUCCAACCCUUUGGUAUUAUUGUAGGUGACUAUAUGCCAAACAACUUUGUUGAAGACCGCAAAGUGAUCCAACACCUGUGAAAAAAGUUAUACCCUAGGUAAAGUGCAGACAACAAAGCAGCUGGAGCAGAUCAACUACCAAGAAAGCUUCUAAAAUAUGGUGGAGAAACACUGGUGAGAGCACUACACCCCGGUUCAUUACCAAGAUUUGGGAGGAGGAAGAAUUACCGGAGGAAUGGUUGGAAGGUAUCGUGUAUCCCAUCUUCAAAAAAAGCGGCAAGUUGGAUUGUGGGGACUAUCGCGCGAUCACACUACUGAGCGCUGCCCACAAGAUACUCUCUCAAAUUUUAUGCCGCCGUGAUGAUAAACAAUUGCAAAAGAGUUCGUGGGGCAAUAUCAGGCUGGAUUCAUGGGUAAACGCGCUACAACGGACCAGAUGUUCGCCAUCCGCCAAGUGUUACAGAAAUGCCACGAAUACAACGUGAACACACAUCACUUGUUCAUCGAUUUCAAAUCGGCGUAUGAUACAAUCGAUCGAGAACAUCUAUGGCAGAUUUUGCACGAAUACGGAUUCCUGGAUAAACUUAUACGAUUGAUCAAGGUAACGAUGGGUCGAGUGAUUUGCGUAGUUUGAGUAUCAAGGACACUCUCGAGUCUCGAGUGAUCGUCUUUCGCUUGCUGUUUAGCGUUGCUUUGGAAGGUGUAAUAAGGAGAGCUGGGAUAAACACGAGUUAAACGAUUUUCACGAAGUCCGUUCAGCUGCUUGGUUUUGCUGAUGAUAUUGAUAUUAUAUCUCGUAAAUUUGAGACGAUGGCGGAAAUAUAUAUUCGAGUGAAGAAUGAAGCCAGGCGAAUCGUAUUACUCAAUAAUGUUUUGAAGACAAAGUACAUAAUGCCAAAGAGCUCCAGGGAGGAUUCAUUGCGCCCGCCACCACGAAUUUUUAUCGACGGUGAUGAAAUCGAGGCGGUGGAAGAAUUCGUGUACUUGUGCUCACUGGUGACCACCGAAAACGACACAAGCAGAGAGGCAUUGUGGCAGGAAAUCGAGCUUACUUUGGACUCCGCAGAACUCUACGAUCGAACAAAGUUUGCCGUCACACGAAGCUAUCUACAAAACGCUUAUUAGACCGGUCGUCCUCUAUGGUCACGAAGCAUGGACUCUACGUGCAGAAGCUCAACGCGCCCUUGGAGUUUUCGAACGGAAGGUGCUGUGCACCAUCUACGGUGGAGUGCAGAUGGAAGACGGGACAUGGAGAAAGCGAACUGCAUCACCUGCUGAGAUAACCAACCAUCGUCAACACCACGAAAAUCGGGAGACUACGGUGGGCGGGUUACAUCAUCAGGAUGUCAGAUAGCAACCUGAAAAUGGUUCUCGAGAGUCAUCCGACUGGUACAAGAAGACGUGGUGCGCAGCGAGUUAGGUGGGUUGAUCAAGUGGAGGACGAUUUGCGGUCACUUCACAGAGUGCGGAACUGGAAACGCACAGCCAUGGAUUGCUUCGUUUCGUAUCGUCUUGAAAAAAUCCCAUAUCGCAUACCCUCACAGCUGAGGUAGAAGAAACAUGAGGGAGCAAAGGAGGCCUGGACCGUCACCGUCGUCCGUCAUCUUCGUCCCGGUCCGAGUGAAGUGGGCAGUUAGUACCUAGUGCAUCGCACCAACACAGGUAACCGAGCGGACGCAUUCACGACGCACGCAUUCACGGUCGAUUCGAUGAUGGUUGCUUCGAUCAUUACCAAAAACGAGGACCCUGAUGCGCUGCGGGGACUUGCUGGGGACAGGGAAGGAAGAAAAUUUCGGAAACGAAACAAAAGAGAAAGGUGUGGAAAGGUUCUGGUAGGUGAGCGGAGCGCGAAUAGUGCGUUCAAGAUGAAAACGGAAAACACAGCCGGGGAAAAUCCGAACGGAACGAUGCGAAAUGGGAUGCACAAGAAAGUUUGCAAUUGUGGCGGCGACAUGAGGAUGGGUAAUUGUAACGUGUUUUGCCACCCGGAACCUUGUGGAACGUCGGAACGGGAGGAAAAUUGUUGCCAGAGUGGAAAUCAAUCUUCAAUAGAUGAAAAAUCCGAACCCGAAAUAAAUUAUUCAUAAUAAUAAGUGGCAGCUAUAUUAUAACUCAAAAACUUAUCUACUUUAGUCCGAUAUAAUCAUUGGCUAUCGUAAUGAUUAAUAGGUAAUGUCUGAAAUAGCCAUUUUUAAACUAAUGUAGUAAGUAGAUCGAGAUUAUUAUGCUAGAUAACUUUGCAAUAUAGAUUAUUUAAAUUUAUGACAGUCACCAGAUUUAAAAUUUGAGAUUAAAAUUAAUUUUCAUCGAAAUGAAAUCUAAAUCCAAGUAACCAAGUUUCUAGUCGAUUCACACACCGGCAACCAACAACACACUCCUCGCCACGGCAUUAUUCUAUCCAAUUUUAUUAUUUUCAAUGCCGUCGUCCACCCGUCGACGUACCAUUUUUAAGUCGCAGUAACUACUCCCAGCCGCGCGAGAUUCAAAUAAAUUAAAUAAACAUUACUACUUUUUACUUGCGCGCACACUUUUACCAGCCGCUUCUAGAGCAGGCAAACUUUUUUGCGCCGAUUCGCUCAUCCAUCCGUCUCUAUCCAGCAGCCUAUGAAUGCACUGCACGCAGAACUAAUGUGCAAUAUUCGCGGAGCGGAGUCGAUGCAGAUGAGGUAAUAAAAAAACAACAAACGACUCUUCCUGGAUUGCCUUCGUAUUCGCAUGGCUGGCUGCGCUGCCAACACUGCUAGAUAACUGCCUCCCAUCCCGACCCGAGAUGGUCAUCGUUGCAGAAUCGCAGCAGCCCGUGGCGAGCCACCCACCCACAUGCAGCAACGUAGCUAGUAGUAGGCCGUUAGGACCCAAUAACUAGUGUGGCACGCGCGCGCCAGGAUACCAAGGCGAAAGCCACCCCAUCCCUGAUCCCACUCCACGAAGAACAAGAAGAAAGCAAACGUCUUAAAAUGCGGCGGGGAGGAGGAGCGUUUCGCUUUCCACCGCACGCGACUCUUUCCCUUUCGUUGGGAGAACUUCUGCUGCUGGCUUCAUUCUCCCAUUCUGACGGUGUAUGCAUGCAUAUGAACCGAACAGGAGGAAGUGUCUUGAAGGAAACAAUUUAGAUGAACAAAUCAUGAUGAUCCCAUUCCCAAGUAACAUUUUGAUGACAAUAGUUUUGUAGAGGUUUUUAGAACCGUCAUCAACCUAAUUCCUUUUAUUUUGGUUUUAUGAUCCCGGUGGCUGCGUGCGAGUAGUUCUGCCUAGUAAGAGUUUGUUUCGUGAGUUGUCGUUAAAGGUUCAUGCAGAGUGGGCGGAUUCUACAGAAUCUUCAUAGAGGCGACUCACUUGGAGCACACUUGGAGAGUGGUACAUCACGUAAGGAAUAUCGGUGAUCCUUUCAAGGCUGCAAAGCUUAAACAUUCUUCCAGCAGUUACUUCAAAAUCCCUAAAUCCAGGAUUUUUUCUAGGAAUUCCUUAAAAGAUUUCUCCAGAAAUUAUUUGACGAAUUUCUCUUAAAGUAUCUUGAGGGAUUUCUCCAGGCAGUCAUUCCAUCAGGGAUUCUUUCAGUAACUUUUUCCUGAGAUUCCUCCAGCAAUUUCUUCAAAGAUUUCUUCUUGAUUUUAUUAGUAAGUUUCUUCUGGAAUUCCUUGAGGGGUUUCUCCAGAAAUGAUUUCAGGGAUUUUUUUUUAUCUGUAUUAACGAGAUUUUUAACCCUAGGCUAGUUCAUCUCGGGACCCACGCUUUACUUCCCUUCCGAAGGAAGAACCCACAUUUUGUGAGUAUGUCGGGAGUGGGAUUCGAUCCCAGGUCCUCGGCGUGAUAGUCAAGUGUUCUAACCAUCACACCAGGAUAUUGCGUGGAUUCCUACAUGAGUUUCUUUUGGACUUCCUCUGGAAAUUUCUUCAGGGGUUUUCCCUGAAAUUCUUUGAGAGAUUUCUCCUUCAAAAAUUCCUCCAGGAACUUCUUCAAAGAUUUGUUCUCAAAUUCACUCUGGAACUUCUUCUUGAGCUCCAAAUGAAUCCUUGUUAAAACUCCUAGAGAAAUCCCUCAAGAAAGUGCUACAGAUAUUUCUUUUUUGAAAUCCCUCAGGGAUUUUUCCUCGCAAUCUUUAAGAGAUUCCUCCUGUAAUUGCUGGAGGAAUUUCACCUGUUAUUGCUGGAAUGAUUUUUCCAGGAACUCCUUCAGGGAUUUCUCCAGAAUUACUUUCAGAGAUUGUUUAGGAAUUUCUUUAGAGAUUUUUCUUGAAACUGCUGGAGAGAUUUCUUCAGAUAUUCCUUCAAAUAUUCCUCCAGGAACUCCUUCAGGGAUUUUUCCAGGAACUUCUUUGCAUAAAUUUCUUCGGGUUCUCCUUCAGGGAUUUCUUCACGGAUUCAUCAACGAGUUCCUUCAGAGAUUCCUUUAAAAGCUCCGUCAGGGGUUUCCCCUGGAGUUCACUCAGAGAUUCCUCCAAAAAGUUCCUCAUUUAUUCCUGCAGGAAUUCCAUCAGGGAUUGAUUGAGAAAGUUCUUCAGUGAAUUAACCAAGAUUUUCUUCUUGAAUUCCUCUAGGAAUACCGUAAGGGUUCAUCCAGAAAUGUCUUCAUGGUUUCCUCCAUAAAUCCGGGAUUCUUCUUAUAUUUUUUCAUGGAUUCUACCAGAAGUUUCUUGAAAGAUUGCUUCUGGAUUUUCUUCAGGGAUUCAUCCAGGAUUUUUUUCUAGGAAUUUCUCAAAAGAUUUCUUCUGGAAUUCUUUGAGGAAUUUAUUUGAGAUUAAGAAUUUUUAGGAUUAGGAAUUUCUAAGAUUACUUCAGGAGUUUCUUCAGUACCCUUGAUUUUCUUGACAGAUUUCUUCUGGAAUUCCUUAAGGAAUUUCUCCAGACACUUUUGCAGAGAUUGCUCCAGAAAAACCGUCCAUAUUUAAUUUGAGAAUAAUUUCAGGGAUUUUUCGUGGAUUCUUCGAGAAAUUUCUGUUUAAAUUUCUCAAUGAUUUUUUCAGAGAUUUUUCCUGGGAUUCUUUGAGGGAUUCCUCCUUCAAGGAUUCCUCCAGGAGCUACUUUUCGCAUUUGUCCUGCAGCUCCUUCAAUGACUCGUUCUUCCAGGAAUGACUUGAAGGAUUUUUCAAGGAAUUUCUUUAGAAUUUUUUGCCUGGAGGCCCUUGGUGUUUUAUUUCUGGAAUUUCUUGAGGGACUCCUCCAGAAACUCCUUCAGAGAUGUCUACAGGAGUUUUUUCAAGGAUGCUCCAGAAAGUGCUUCAAGGGUUUCUCCAGGAUUUUUUUCAGGUGUGGUAUAUUCCAGUAUUCUUGACAACACUGACAUGCCAUGCUGCUACGAUGUUAGCAAUUAAGAAAGUCUAAGAAAUAUUAUGAAUAAAGCACUAGCCAUUAUUGUCAGAACCAACGUAGAGAGUAGUUCCAUUCUUCAAGAGAACUCCUGUGGAAAACAUAAUCUACCUCACAAGGAUUCCUUCAGGAAUUCCUUCUCGGUAUUCUUCCGAGGUUUUUUUUUCUGUAUUUCUUUGAGGAGUUUCUCCUGAAGUUGCUGAAGAAAUUUCUCCUGUAAUUACUGGAGAUAUUUUUCCAGAAACUCCUUAAAGAAUUUCAUCAGGGAUUCUUUCAGAAAUUCUUCGGGGAUUCCUCUUAGAACUUUUCAGGGAUUUCUUCCUUAUUUGCUAGAAAGAUUUCUCCAGAAAUUUCUUCACAGAAUCCUCCAGGAACUCCUUCGCGGAUUUUUCUGGGAAUUCCUUCAGGGAUUUUUCUUGGAAUUACUUUAAGGAUUUUUCCAGAAACUCCUCCAGGGAUUUCUCCAUUUAUUAAUUAAUAGGUUUCUCCAGAUAUUCGGUCUGGAAUUUCUCCAGGAACUCCUCCAGGAACUCUUUCAGGGAUAUCUUCUGGAGUUUUUCUUUCAUUGAUUUAUCCAGAAAAUUUUCAUGUAUUUCUCCUUAAAAUCUCCAUCAAUAAUUUUCCCCGGUAUUCUUCGAUGAAUUUCUCCUGGAACCGCAGGAGAUUUUUACAGGAACUCCUUCAAGGUCACAUUCUUUCAGAACUUUCUUCAGAGAAUUCUUUAGAAAACCCGUGAGGUGUUUCAUUUAAGGCUUCCUCCAGGGAAUCCUACGAAAAUACCUUCAGGGAAAUUUCUCAGGGAUUGCUGGAGAGAUAUAUCCUUUCUUUGCUGCAGUGAUUUUUCCAGGAACUUCUUCAGGGGUUCUUUAAGGAACUCUUCCAGCAAUUUCUCUAGGGGUUCCCCAUGAUGUUCGUCCAGUGAUUCCAUCUGAUUUUUUUUUGUGAUUUCUCUAGAAGUUCUAUCAAUGAUUCCUCCAAAAGUUCCCUCCCGGAUUCAUCCACGAGUUCCUUAUGUGGUUUCUCCUGAAGUUCCUCUAUAUAGGAGCGUUUUUCAGGGAUUCUUGCACGAGAUCUUUCAGGAAUUCCUCCAAGGAUUCCUCCUGGAGCACACUAAACAACGCGAAGUAAAGAGAACGCGUCCCAACAAACAUGUUUGCUGUACAACGGCUGAAUAAACCGCUCUUAAGCUUGAUUUUAAAAAAUCUUGGCUGAAUAAGCUGAAGUUAUUCAGCUAUCAUUGUUAUUUGGGCGUGACAGUUUUGAAAAGGCAGCCGCUCGCGCGCAUAGCUUGCAACAAUCUCCUACAACUUCGUCCAGGAAUUUCUUCAGAUACUCCCCUUGAUGUAUUUUCAAAAGGAUUCCUUUGGAAAACUAUUGAACAACUCUUCCUUGUUUAUUUUUUAGAAAAUGUUUGAAAAGUUCCUUCGGAAAUUUAUCCAGUAAUUCUUGCCUUGAUCCUUUCAAACAUUCGUUCGGACAUUUUAUGGAGGGAUUCCUUCAGAAAAUCAUUGAUUACUUUAGAAAUUUCUUCAGAAUUUCUGUAGGGAUUUCUAAAGAACAUUCUUCACACAUUUCUCCAGUAAUUCUUCUAUGUUGUUUUUUUUAAUCUUCCAAAACCUACUUUGAAAAUGCCUGAAGAAACUUCUCUUGAAAUUUUUCCAAGGACUCCACCAGAAAUUCCGAUAAUAAUUUCUGCACAGGUUUUUUUAAACAUCUUCCAUCGAUUAAUUCCAAAACUAUCUUCAAGGAUAGCUAUAGAAAAUCUUCCAAGUAAUUAAUAGGCAAUAAAUAAUAAAUAAAAUCAACGGCUAUGUAUUAUAGAGUGGUGGUGACGCAUGGUCAAUCAUUCCAUACGUAUAUGCGCAACAGGCUUGAAAAUUAAAAAAAAAAUGCUUCUCCAAAAAGGCUUGAAGAAAAUUUCUAAUAUUUUGAUAAAUUACGUAAAAAGAGUUAAGCUUUCGGUCAAAAAAAAAUAAAAAAAAAUACAUAGCCGUUGUGGUCUAACAUUGCACAGUGGGAAAAAAUAGGUAUAAAACGCGAAUAAAUUCAAUAUCUCUGCUCGGAGUGGAUGGAUUCGAAUGAAUUUUUGACACAAACUGUAAAAGUCUCUAUAGUUUCAGAUAAGGAGGGUGUUAUUCGCCGCACGAUGCUGGAAAUCAGUGCACUGGGCUCGUUUAACCCCGUUCUCUCUUUCUCACAUCUUUUUAGGAUAAUCCUCAUCUAUUCCCGCACGCAGAAAAAUGACGCUUGUUUGAAGCAAUAAAACGCUUGGUUGAUUUUCGAACUGAGAAUUUACUUAUUCCUAAGUUAUAUUUCUUUGCUCUUACUUAGAGUUUAUCGAUAAAAACAAUCAAUUACCACAGUUCCAUAUAACGUUAAAAACUUCAUUUGUUUCUACAAAAUGGGGACUACAAACAUGGCCCGGAAGCACUCACACAUGUUUAAAGUUCUUACCCCAACAUCGCCACAACGAGGAAAGUGUAGCAAAUCCAUCACCUCAACUUCCAAGUGCCGUUUUGGCCGUGAUGGAUAACGCGCAGGUACUCAAAACAGCAUCCACAAAAACUUGGUCUGUUUCACCUUUUUGUCUUUUUUUUAUCCGUUCUUGUUCUCACCCACUUGCCGAGUGUCUAAAAAUAGGUUUCCGAGCCGCCGCAGGAGCUGCCGUCACCAACACCAUCACAUUCCUUCUUUGUUAGUAUCCAAAGUGCAGUCGUUUGAAACAAUCCAUUAUUUUAUGUUGAAACAACCAAAGCUCUGUUUGUUUUAACAAACUGUCAAAAAUAUCGACAAAUAAAAAUAUUUGUAUUAUCAAACAAUGGAAGUUCAAAUCAGUUCAAAUUGAAAAUCAGUUUGUCGCUAUAGUAAACUGAAAAAUCGGUUGAUUUGAUCUAUAAUUUAAUUGUGUUUACAAUUUAUUUUUCUGCGUGCGCCUGGUGUGCAAAAUAAAUGCUUUAUUUAACUCGUAUUUGUGUAAAAACUUCCAUAGUAUCGGGAGUUUGACAUAGGGUUGGUCCUGCUCUUGUGGAUUGCGUUUUAUUUCGGGAGAAGAUGCAUAAGACAUUUUAAAGAACUAGGGGAUGUCGUGGUUAUUUGAAGAUAUUUCAAUUUUUCAGGCCGUGCGGUGAGCCAAACCAGCUCCAUUCGAUACGGAAGUUUUUACACAAAUAAGAAUCAAAUAAAUCAUUUAUUUUGCACUCCACGAUUUUUCCAAAAAAGGUGAAAAUAAGUGUGAGGGGGAUAAAACGGGCCCAGUAUAAUGAUUUCCAGCAUCGUUCGGCGAAUGACACCCUCCUUAUCUGAAACUCCUUAUUUGAAACUGAUAUUUUGACGAUUUUUGCGUAUGAAAUAAUAAUAUUUUUUUUAGCGAUUUUUUUUCUUAAAUUUAGAACUAAUAAACUUUUUAUUCGUGAAAAAAACAUUGCAAAUCGGUCCAUUGGUUCAAAAGAUAUGACGUUUUGAAAAUAAAAAAAAAUGGAUAAUAAUAAAUAAUAAUAAAUUUUGGACAACCAAAAAAAAUAAGGGUCUAAUUAUUUUUGGUAGAGAUUAUUCUCACCGAAUUAGAGCAAUAUCGGAACAUUUUUAUUUUUGAGUCUAUUAUUUUUUCAUUGAAUUUCUGAAUGUUUGUAUGGAUUGCUUCAUGGAAGAUUGCAUGGAUUAUUAUUCAGAAAAUCCUUCUAGGAUUCCUUGAGCAAAUCUUUCAAUUUCUUUUAUCAGAAAUUCUUCCAGAAAUUCACCCGCUACUUCCUCUACGGAUUGAUUCAAAAACUUCACCAAGGAAACAUUUGGAAUGUGGGGUUCCUUAGAAACUUCUUAGGCGUUUCCUUUAGAAAUUUUACAGGUAAUUUUUCUAGAGUUUUUUAAAGAUUUCAUGAGGAAACUUCUAUCUAUGUAAUUUCUUUGAAGGAUUAUAAAAAAAAUCCUAUAUGUAUUUCUCCAUAUUUUUUUUUUCUGAGAGGCUUCCCGGAAGUUUUCCAGAGAUCUCUUCAGAUGUAUGGAUCGAAAUCUCUCCAGGAUUUUUUUCUUCCAUGGCUGUUUUCCAAAAACAAAUAAUUUAUUCGGAAAUUUUCUCCAACGAUUUAUUCAGGAAUUCCUCCGGAGAUUCUUUCGGAAAAUAUUCGUGGGGUUGUUUUGGAAAUUCCUUCAAUCAUUUUUUUUUUCAUUCAAAUUUUUUAUACAGUUUUAUUUUACGGAAAUUUCUUCAAGGAUAACUUUAGGAAACCUUCCCUGCAUUUUCUCUGUAAUUUCUUCAAGGAGGAAUCUAGCAGAAAUCCCUCCUAGGAUUGAUUUGGAAAAUCUUCCACGGGUUCCUCAAAAAACUUAGAAGAAUUAUUCAAGAAAUUCUUCCAGGGACUUCUUCAGAAGUUCUUUUUUGAUUUCCUUCAGAAAUUCAUGAGGUUUUUAGAGAUUCUUUAACAAAAACGUCUAGGAAUUUCUCUAACCCUCCUAAGAUGUUAUGCUAGGCACACCACGAUAACGUUGUGUACAUUUAGCGAGCCUGUGUGAGUAAUAUUGACCCUAACAUCCUACUUGGGGUAAAAAUUCCUCCAGGGAUAACUUCAGACUCUUGAAUUUCCUCCAAAAAUAUUUCCAGGAACUCCUUUAGUACAAUCAAUGGUACAUAUUGCCUUUUACUGGUAUUUUACCAGAUUUGCUGGUGUACUGGAAAAACUUGUAAUAAGAAGGCACGAAAUAUUGCUUUUCGACGAAUUAAUAAAUUAAAUUUGUGGAAAAAUCGCGUUCUGGUGGGAUUCGAACCCACGACUCCGUAUUCGAUAGACCGACGCUCUGACUAACUAAGCCACAGAACAGAUAAUGAUUCUGCGGAAGAGAGAGCCAAGCUGACUUCGAAGCCACACCGUGAAUAUUCCUUUUUCACGAACUAUUUUUCCACAACACACUCGCGUUGGUGCCCACUAGCUACAAGUGAGAGCGAAGCAGAGACUUACUGUUACUUUCGCACUACGCAUAUCUAUUCACCAAGCAGUGUAUUGCUGAUGUCUAAUUAGUAAGGUACGGCGGGAUCACAUGAUGUUCUCUAUUCAUUAUCAACAAUUUGGUUGACAUACCACAUAGUCCUUGAUUCAAACAAUCUUUUAGCGAAGGAUGAAUUUAUAAAUUUUAUUGAAAUCUAUUUCAAAACUUCGCGUUUCAUCUUGUCCCGGUGUACCUUAUGCGUGGAGAGCUCUAACGACCAACUGCGCCGACGACGCAAACAAGGAUACAAUGGUGCAUGUUGCCCUUCAGUGGCGUUUUACCAGAUUUGCUCAUACAUUUGUAUGAUACAUAAUACCUGUUCUGUGGCUUAGUUGGUUAAAGCGCCGGUCUAGCGAAUACGGAGUCGUGGAUUCAAAUCCCACCAGAACGCGAUUUUUUUCACAAGUUUCAUCUCUCAAUUUGUCAAUCAGCAACAUUUAGUGCCUUUUUAUAACAAGGUUUUCCAGUAAACUACUUUAGCAAGUCUACCAUAAAUUGGUUUAGAAAUUAUUUCAUGGAUUACUUUCAAAGAAUAUUCCAAUGGUAACUUCAAAAAUAUGUUUCAUUGAUAAUCUUCAAGUAAAUCCUGCAUACAGGCCCGGAUUAAGGAUUGUGGGGGCCCGUGGGGUUUCUUUAAGGAAUUCCUCCAAAAAUUACUUCAGAUUUUCCUUCAUAAAAGUUCUGAUAGUGAAAUUGCUCGAAUGAUUUCUUUGGAAAGAAAUUUGUCUAGGGAUGCCUAUCUUCAAAGAAAUCUACAAGAAAUUCCUCCAUCUUAAGAAAUUAUUUCAGGGAAUCCUUCAUAAAAACAUCUAGAGAUCCCUGCGAUCCCAGGAUCCCCUGGGAAAAUGCCCAGGGGAAUUUCUGGAUAAAUUUAUGAAGAAAACCCUUGAAGAUAUCCUGGAGGAAAUCUUGAAGGAUUUACUGUAGGAUUUCCUGGAGAAAUCCCCGAAGCAAUGCCUGAAGGCAGAGUUGUGCAGUUUCAGGAUGGUUAAUGUCGAACGACACUCGCUUUAACCAUCACUUCAUAUGAAAAACGCAGUCCAUCAAAACAUAAUCGAUUCACGCAAAAGCCACUCAAGCCAACCCUCGUUCAAUGCAGAGUCAACCACAUCCAACAGCAGCGAUCGUCUCUUGUUUUCGAACCACACGAAGAAACACCGAAGCGAGUUUUUGUUCUACGCCUUGAAUUCAUAUUCAUAGGGCGUGCUGUGUUUGUGUUUGUUGCGCUAUGCAAUACGACUUAACAAAUUGACAUUCAUCCUGGCCCUUUCAGAUGAGAGUCACCCAGCAGUGAGUGACAUAGCUCUGCGUCGGAACGACUGUUAACAUGCGUUCGGUUGCUCAGGAGAUUUGUAAAGAAAGAGCGUGGUGGCGGCAGCCACCGUAUCAAUGCGUUCGUCUCGAAUGUGUUCGUUAGCAACAUACACAGCAAAUAAUUUUGUAAUAUCCAGGCGCGUAAUUUCUGGUGAUGUAUUCAUUUUCGAACGUAAUUUCACUCGGUUACAUCGUUUUCCAACAAUUAUCACACUCUCCAUGCACACCCUGGUUGGCACCGGAAAGUAUCAACAAACCCAUUCCAGCAGAAACCUAGAAGCAGUAUCAUAUUUAUCAACUUCCUUCUAACUCGGUAAAAUAGUCGAGAGGUAAGGGAUAUGCCUCACAAUCAACGGAUCAGUGUACGAAUCCAUGCCAAUAUUUUACUUAUAUAUGAUUCAUCUAUAGAUCCGGUUCUAGCGAUUGCCAGACCCACUCUCAAGCAGCGGCAGCUAAUUUGUUGCAUGAAAAUGAUGUAAUUGUUUACAUCACUUCUACGACGCGACUGAUGUGCAGCGAAAAUGAUGUGAUAUCACAAGAAUUUUUUUGCUGUGUAGAGACGUUCGGCUGUGGCGUUGAUGGAGAAAGAAGAGCAAUGUUGAUGUUGCGGCUUUUUCGGGUUAUGAUGAUGAUAAUGCACAAGACUGCCUGGAGGAAUCUCUGGAAAAAAUACUGGAGAAACCUCUGGAGAAAUACAUGGGAGAACCGUUGGAGGAAUUCCUGGCACAAUUCCUGGAAGAAUCUCUGGAGGAGUUCUUGAAGGAGUUCCUGAAGGAAUCCAUAACGCGAUUCCUGAUUGGUUGAUUGGCUUUUCUAUAUUAUAGAGAAUUUCAGCCCUUGGUUGGUUCGUCUCUCAUCUAAUCAAGCAAUUACUGAGGGAAUCCCUUGAGAAAUCCAGGGAAGAUUUUCUUAAGAAAUCCCCAGAGAAAGUACUGAAGAAAUCGCAGUAGAAAUUCCAGGAAAAAUCCUGAAGGGAUUCCUGAAGGAACGCCUGGAGGAAUCCCUAGAGAGUUCCCUGGAUAUUCCCUGAACAAAUUCUGCAUGCCUGGAAGAAUCCCUAGAGGAAUGUCUAGGGGAACUUCUGGAAAACUCUAGAGGAAUUCCUGAAGGACUGUUUAGAAGAAUUCCUAGAGGAAUUCCUAGAGAAAUUUCUGAAGAAAUUCAUGGAGGAAUUCCUGGAAGAACCCCUGGAGGGAGUACUGGAGAAUUCUCUGGUGGAAUCUUAUGAAGAAUUGCAGGAGGAAAUCCUGAAGGAAUCCUAUUAAGAGUUCUUGGGGCAAACUCCUAGAGGAAUCCCUGUAGCAGUUCCUGAAGGUACCCUAAGAUGAAUCCCGGAAGCAAACCCAAGGGAAUCUUUACACAAUUCAUGUACGUAUUGCUGGAGGAAUUUCUGGAAGAAUAGGGUCCUAAAAUGAAAAAUAUUUCCCUGUUUUUCUGCAUAAUACGAAGGAGCAUGCUUUUCUGAUCUCAAUGGUAUUUUUUCCGAACUUAAACAGUGACAGAAUAGUUAAUAAACUCGAAAAUAAAAUAUUGAUGAGCAGGUCUUGUUUGACAUACGAGGUCAACCUUGACGUAACGAAAGUGAAACAGCGUGUUGCAAAAGACAUUGGCUCACUUUUGACAACAUUUAAUGUUCCUGUUUGACAUACACGGUAAACAAAAUUUACCCAAAAUUGAGUGCUAAACAAGGAGUGUUGCAAAAAUUCUUAAAAUUUUUGAAAAUAUAUUUUAUGGGCUUUACCUAAUAGGGAUACUUAAAAAAUGAGUAAACGUGUCGUUUUAAUCAAUACUUGAUCGAAUUAUGCAGAAAUUGAGAUAGGCCUUUAGGAGCCUAUUCCAGAAGGAAUUCUUGUUCGAAUCCCAGAGUUCCUGGAAAAAAACCUUUGUGAAAUUUCGAAAAUAAUCCUUGGAGUUGUUUUCUCUUCCCGGAGCUGCUACUGGGAUUUCUUCGGGAAUUAUUUAUGAGAUUCUCUCAGGAAUCCCACAAGAACUUCUUUCGGUAUUUUUCCCGAAAUCUCAUUGUGAUUUUUCCUGGAGUUACUUCCAGGAUUUUUGAAAGAGGUACUUCUGCGAUUGCUUCAGGAAUUCCUUCCGAGAUUUCUCCAACGACCUCUUCCAGGAUUCUUCCCGGAUUCAUUCUGGAACUCCUUCCGGGAUUUCUUCGGGUGGAUCUUUUCCCGCGCUUCUGUCAAGAAUUGUUUCUUGAAUUUCUUCCGAAACUCCAUCGUGCAUUUCUACGGAAACUUCUUCCGGGAUUCCUUUUGGAACUCUUUCUGGACUUUUUCUUGGAACUUAUUCCGGAAACUUCUUCUGGAAUUCUUUAAGAAACUGCUUCCAAAAGUUCUUCGGGAACUCUUGACAGUAUUCAUCUAGUAACUCUUUUCUGAUUUCCUUCAAGAGUUCCGUUUGGAGUGUCGUGUUAGGACAGACACCGUGGCAAUCCGGGUCAACCGAUUCUGCUUGCCGAAACUCUAUUUCGAGGAAGGAUGCAAAUGAUUCAACCUACUCGUGCAAAAUACUUUACAAGACUGGCGUUUCAUUUCAUCAUGAUUCAUGAUCGUUUGCUUUGUUUACCGGUAGCGCAUCACCGCUGUCAAUGAUAUAUGCCCUGUGUCUCGCUUUCUCUGUAUCCCUCUCAAUCCUUUCAUGGAGGUCCUACAAAUCCUUCCGGAAUUCCUCUGGAAGCUCAUUCUGAAAUUUUUUCAGAUGCUUCUAAUGGAAAUCCUUCAAGAGUUUAUCAGGAAGAAUCUUGAGAGAUCCCUCCUGCAGUUUUUGUUCAUAGCAUUCUUCAUAAAGUGCCUACAGGAUUUUUCAUGGGAUUUCCUCAGAAGCUAUUAAGAGAUCCUCGGAUGUAAUACCUGGAGGAUUCCCGGAACUCUAUGAGAAAUCCCGGAAAAAGUACCAUGAAGUCCCAGAAGGAAUCAUGGUAGGAGUUCCUGAGAUGUAACCUAUUGGGAAUCUCAGUAGAAUCUCAGAAUGACUUCAGAGAGAAGUUUAGAAGAAACCCCAGAAAGAAUCUCAGAUAUAGCUCCCUGAGGAAUCACAGAAGGAAAUCCUAGAGGGAUUCUAGAAAAGAAAUGUGAAGAAACCACGAAGACAUCCUGGAAGAAUCUCGGGUAAAAGCGCAGGGGAAAUCUUGCAAGGAAUAAUUCUAGAGGGAUUUCGGAAUUAAUUUAUAGAGAAACUUCAAAGAAAUUUUCGAAAAAGAAACAGGAUUUCCUAAAAUAUUCUCAGAAGGAAACCAGGAAAUCUCUGGAAAAAUCUCGUUAGUACUUCCUGGAGGAAUCUUGGUAAGAGCUCUUGAAGGGAUCCCAGAUGGAACCUCUUUAGGAAUCUCAGAAGAAACUCCUGGAAGAACCCCAGAAGAAACUUCUGAAUGAAUCCUAAAUAAAUCCGCGGAAAAAUCUCAUCAAGAAGUCCCUGGAAAUCCCUCAAGUACCUCCUGGAUGAGUCCUGGAACAAAUUAGCGGAGAAACUUAGAUAGAUUCCUGGGAUUCCUGUGCCGUCAUCAAGUCAAAAAUCCGCACACUUUCCCACGCUCGCGAAUCCCAAAUUUUGAACUAAAUCAAUCCACCUAGCGAAAUUCUUCUAGGUCCGAAAGGUUAUGGAACUCUGUAACUCCGAAUCAUAAACAACAAGGUCACAAAACGUCAAAGUCUUGACAAAAAAUAUCUUAGCAACCGCGACGUCCAGUGCAGUACCGUGUUCCCAUUCACCACUAUCUCAAAGGCCUACUACUGAGCUGAUUGUUUAAAACUUCCCAUCGGGACACUACUGCACAGAACGAUCACAGGCGCCCGCCGCGCCGCCGGCCGUCUUCGUGCAUGCGAAUCUUCCUUCCCAUUCUGGCCUACUGCGAGCGCAAGUCGAAUAAAACAACUUCCAUAGUCAAGCCACGCGGCGGCGAGGCCUGCUGUGUGCAAUCUAUCCAUUUUGCAUGCACUGCACAACACAACACAGAUCCAAGUAUGUAUGUGCUGUUAUUUGUGUACCUACGAAAUGCGCUUGCACUUCAUCCAUGUAUGAACUGACCAUCUCAUCAUCAUCUCCGCAUCUCCAUACGUGCGGCGGACGACGACGACUUUGUGUUUGCUUUGAAGAUUGUUGCUGUUGUUGUUGUUGUUGUUGGUCCUUAGUUCUUGAGUUUGCAUUCACCUACACAAGGAUACUCUGAACUGGGUUCUAGAGUACACUUGGCGGAGAAGAGCACAUACAUGACACGAAAGUGCGAAUAAUUUUGGAAGUCGAUGGACACGAACACGGUUGUUGGAGAAACCCCGGGUGGAGGAGGUAACCUCCGUCAACAUCAACAAGACGACGACGGUCGGUCCCCCGGUUGUCCAGUUCGAUUUGCAUGCAGAUUAGGGUGUUCCAAAGCUGUACAUAGUCAGGAAUCUUGAAAGUUUAUCUUCCAAAUGGUAGUUAAUGAUGUUAGUAUCAAACUUUUGUAUGACAGCAACUUUUGAAAGUGACUUUGAAGGUUACAAAGUUACAAACAUACAGGAGAUUUCUUCUCACAACCUUAGCUACCAUUUGAAGGGUGAGCCUGUAACACUGUUUGGCAAUGAGCAACUUCGGGACACCCUAAUGCAUGUCCUUCUUGGUUAUAAUACGUACGAGGGGGAUUACGAACGAAUCCGAGUCCCACAUAGGGGGAGAAGAUGUCGUCGCAGAUAUGACAUAGGCCUUGAAGACCUUCUUCUUCAUUCCGAAACUGACCAUCGCACUGGACACACUCAGUGGAACGGCCUUCACUGCCUUGACAGGAUUUUUUAAAGUUCAAAACACUGUUCAACAGCCAGUACAAUAGCCUGCUUCCAAGAAUAAAGACUUGCGAAAUGGACACACCCGUUGCCCGAGUUGCUUGGAUGAUCCUCGGCAAGGGUGGACCAUCGCCGUCGCCCCACU